rnacentral:rRNA from 1 species
AUUGAACGCUGGCGGCAUGCUUUACACAUGCAAGUCGAACGGCAGCGGGGCAGUGCUUGCACUACUGUCCGGCGAGUGGCGAACGGGUGAGUAAUAUAUCGGAACGUACCGAGUAAUGGGGGAUAACCAAUCGAAAGAUUGGCUAAUACCGCAUACGUCCUAAGGGAGAAAGCGGGGGAUCGCAAGACCUCGCGUUAUUCGAGCGGCCGAUAACUGAUUAGCUAGUUGGUGGGGUAAAGGCCUACCAAGGCGACGAUCAGUAGCGGGUCUGAGAGGACGAUCCGCCACACUGGGACUGAGACACGGCCCAGACUCCUACGGGAGGCAGCAGUGGGGAAUUUUGGACAAUGGGGGCAACCCUGAUCCAGCCAUGCCGCGUGUAUGAAGAAGGCCUUCGGGUUGUAAAGUACUUUUGUUAGGGAAGAAAAGGGAAGUGCUAAUACCACUUUUUGCUGACGGUACCUAAAGAAUAAGCACCGGCUAACUACGUGCCAGCAGCCGCGGUAAUACGUAGGGUGCGAGCGUUAAUCGGAAUUACUGGGCGUAAAGCGAGCGCAGACGGUUAUUUAAGCAGGAUGUGAAAUCCCCGGGCUUAACCUGGGAGCUGCGUUCUGAACUGGAUAGCUAGAGUGUGUCAGAGGGGGGUAGAAUUCCACGUGUAGCAGUGAAAUGCGUAGAGAUGUGGAGGAAUACCGAUGGCGAAGGCAGCCCCCUGGGAUAACACUGACGUUCAUGCUCGAAAGCGUGGGUAGCAAACAGG